rnacentral:rRNA from 1 species
AAUAUUGCACAAUGGGCGGAAGCCUGAUGCAGCGACGCCGCGUGGGGGAUGACGGNCUNNGGGUUNUNAACCUCUUUCGACAGNNNNNAAGUGAAAAUGCCGGUACCUGUAUAAGAAGCACUGGCUAACUACGUGCAAGCAGCCGCGGUAAUCCGUAGGGUGCGAGCGUUUUCCGGAAUUACUGGGCGUAAAGAGCUCGUAGGGGGUUUGUCACGUCGUCUGUGGAAUUCCGGGGCUUAACCUCGGGCGUGCAGGCGAUACGGGCAAUACUUGAGUGUUGUAGGGGAGACUGGAAUUCCUGGUGUAGCGGUGAAAUGCGCAGAUAUCAGGAGGAACACCAAUGGCGAAGGCAGGUCUCUGGGCAGUUACUGACGCUGAGGAGCGAAAGCAUGGGUAGCGAACAGG